GUAUCCGUAAAUGGAUAAAACGGGACUGUCAUAUCCUGCCAAGACAGGGAAUUACCCCAAACUGAAUUUAAGAAUGUCUCCUUGCCAAGGAAUUCCUGAAGAGGAGAGACUGAGGCAAGCAUUUGCAACCCUUGCAACUUAAGCUGCAUCAUCAUCUCUAAGAUCAGUUUCCUGUCUACUUUUUGAAGUCACUGAUGGAUAAUUGAAUGUCUCUAUGAU